rfam:Myotis brandtii contig295735, whole genome shotgun sequence.
GGCCAGGUAGCUCAGUUGGUUAGAGCAUUGUCCUGAUAGGCUAAGGUUGCAGGUUCAAUUCCCUGGUCC